AUUCCAGCUCCAAUAGCGUAUAUUAAAGUUGUUGCAGUUAAAAAGCUCGUAGUUGAACUUCUGACUAUUGCGUAAGCCGGAUUCGUUCGCUCUCGUGAUAGUCAUCCGCUUGGGAACUCCGUUCGAACUUAACUGUUUGGCGGAAGGAACAGGCAUUUUACUUUGAAAAAAUUAGAGUGUUUCAGGCAGGCUAGCGCCGGGACACAUUAGCAUGGAAUAAUGGAAUAGGACUUUUUCCUCUUCUGUUGGUCUGAGGGGUUCGAGUAAUGAUUAAUAGGGAUAGUUGGGGGCAUUAGUACUUUGCUGUCAGAGGUGAAAUUCUCGGAUUUGCAAAAGACUAACUUAUGCGAAAGCAUUUGCCAAGGAUGUUUUCAUCA
rnacentral:rRNA from 1 species